rnacentral:rRNA from 1 species
AUUGAACGCUGGCGGCAGGCCUAACACAUGCAAGUCGAGCGGUAGAGAGAAGCUUGCUUCUCUUGAGAGCGGCGGACGGGUGAGUAAUGCCUAGGAAUCUGCCUGGUAGUGGGGGAUAACGUUCGGAAACGGACGCUAAUACCGCAUACGUCCUACGGGAGAAAGCAGGGGACCUUCGGGCCUUGCGCUAUCAGAUGAGCCUAGGUCGGAUUAGCUAGUUGGUGAGGUAAUGGCUCACCAAGGCGACGAUCCGUAACUGGUCUGAGAGGAUGAUCAGUCACACUGGAACUGAGACACGGUCCAGACUCCUACGGGAGGCAGCAGUGGGGAAUAUUGGACAAUGGGCGAAAGCCUGAUCCAGCCAUGCCGCGUGUGUGAAGAAGGUCUUCGGAUUGUAAAGCACUUUAGGUUGGGAGGAAGGGUUGUAGAUUAAUACUCUGCAAUUUUGACGUUACCGACAGAAUAAGCACCGGCUAACUCUGUGCCAGCAGCCGCGGUAAUACAGAGGGUGCAAGCGUUAAUCGGAAUUACUGGGCGUAAAGCGCGCGUAGGUGGUUUGUUAAGUUGGAUGUGAAAUCCCCGGGCUCAACCUGGGAACUGCAUUCAAAACUGACUGACUAGAGUAUGGUAGAGGGUGGUGGAAU